rnacentral:rRNA from 1 species
AUUGAACGCUGGCGGCAUGCUUUACACAUGCAAGUCGAACGGUAACAGGGUGCUUGCACCGCUGACGAGUGGCGAACGGGUGAGUAAUGCGUCGGAACGUGCCGAGUAGUGGGGGAUAACGCAGCGAAAGUUGUGCUAAUACCGCAUACGUACUGAGGUAGAAAGUGGGGGACCUUCGGGCCUCACGCUAUUCGAGCGGCCGACGUCUGAUUAGCUAGUAGGUGAGGUAAAGGCUCACCUAGGCGACGAUCAGUAGCGGGUCUGAGAGGAUGAUCCGCCACACUGGGACUGAGACACGGCCCAGACUCCUACGGGAGGCAGCAGUGGGGAAUUUUGGACAAUGGGCGAAAGCCUGAUCCAGCCAUGCCGCGUGUCUGAAGAAGGCCUUCGGGUUGUAAAGGACUUUUGUCAGGGAGGAAAUCCCUAGCGUUAAUACCGCUGGGGGAUGACAGUACCUGAAGAAUAAGCACCGGCUAACUACGUGCCAGCCGCCGCGGUAA